CACCGUUCUAAAUUCCACGAGGACACGCCUACCUCCGCGCGCAGGGUACGCGCUGUUGUGGUUUCCACUUCACAGAAAAAUCUGCCUGGCGACUGAGCAUGCCCAGUUCAACUACUAAUCGCCAAACCACGGGAUCCUAGUUUCAUUGUUUGCCUGGUCUCUCUUUGAAUUUUAUCAGUAGGAGGGAUGUGGGCCUUGCGAAGAGAGGAAAAGGAAUGUCUGGUGACAAUAAUCACUAAAAUUGCUUAGCUAUGAUUUCCUAAAAUCUGUGAUUACAAGUCACUCACCGAUUCAGCAACUGGAUGAUGAAUAGGCUUGAUGAUGAAUAAGAUGUGUAUAUCAUGGGAAUUAGAAAAAGAACGAGCAAGAUGGAUUGCGCCUGCCUGAACAGGGUACAAGGAAAUGGAGGAUUCUCCUGUACUGUCAAUAGCCUCUAGAUCUAGGAAAAUAAACACAGACCUCUGCUGGCAGCCCUGGAGCUGCAGGAAUCCUACACCUAUCCUAGAAUUUUUCAAACAUCAGGGCAAAACCAUGUAUGGUAUCAGAAAUAUAUUAAGGAAAAGAGAAGGAGGAGAACAGAAGGGCAGAAGAUAAAAACAUCAGAAUGCAUUUCACAUGAGAUCCCAGCUAUCACCUUUGUGGGUUUUGAGAAGCAGGUGUGCAGUGGUCUGGAACCAGCAGCAACAGUGACUUCCUGAAUGAGAAAGGAUCUUCAUUCUCAUGGAAUACUGACACUAGUGAUUCCUAAUUUCAGAAGAGACUCCGCUCCUUAAACGACCUGGUUCUGGUGUGUAACUCUGGAAGAGUUCUCUGAAAAUUCAACUUUGAUUCUAUUUCUUUGGUCCUCCUAACUAGCCCAUCAGCUAUUGAACCCUUGCAUAUAUCUCACUUUAAAUUAAAGAGUUCUC